GAUGAACGCUGGCGGUAUGCUUAACACAUGCAAGUCGAACGGACUCUUCGGAGUUAGUGGCGGACGGGUGAGUAACGCGUGAGAAUCUGGCUUCUGGUUCGGGAUAACAGUGGGAAACGACUGCUAAUACCGGAUGUGCCUGCGGGUAAAAGGCUUGCUGCCAGAAGAUGAGCUCGCGUCUGAUUAGCUAGUUGGUGGGGUAAGAGCCUACCAAGGCGACGAUCAGUAGCUGGUCUGAGAGGAUGAUCAGCCACACUGGGACUGAGACACGGCCCAGACUCCUACGGGAGGCAGCAGUGGGGAAUUUUCCGCAAUGGGCGAAAGCCUAACGGAGCAAUACCGCGUGAGGGAAGAAGGCUCUUGGGUUGUAAACCUCUUUUCUCAGGGAAUAAGAAAGUGAAGGUACCUGAGGAAUCAGCAUCGGCUAACUCCGUGCCAGCAGCCGCGGUAAUACGGAGGAUGCAAGCGUUAUCCGGAAUGAUUGGGCGUAAAGCGUCCGCAGGUGGUUAUUCAAGUCUGCCGUUAAAGAGUCUGGCUUAACCAGAUAAAGGCGGUGGAAACUGAAAGACUAGAGUGCGGUAGGGGCAGAGGGAAUUCCCAGUGUAGCGGUGAAAUGCGUAGAGAUUGGGAAGAACACCGGUGGCGAAAGCGCUCUGCUAGGCCGCAACUGACACUCAGGGACGAAGCUAGGGGAGCGAAUGGGAUUAGAUACCCCAGUAGUCCUAGCC
rnacentral:rRNA from 1 species